GAUGAACGCUGGCGGCGUGCCUAAUACAUGCAAGUCGAGCGAACAGACGAGGAGCUUGCUCCUCUGACGUUAGCGGCGGACGGGUGAGUAACACGUGGAUAACCUACCUAUAAGACUGGGAUAACUUCGGGAAACCGGAGCUAAUACCGUAUAAUAUAUUGAACCGCAUGGUUCAAUAGUGAAAGACGGUUUUGCUGUCACUUAUAGAUGGAUCCGCGCCGCAUUAGCUAGUUGGUAAGGUAACGGCUUACCAAGGCAACGAUGCGUAGCCGACCUGAGAGGGUGAUAGGCCACACGGGAACUGAGACAGGGUCCAGACUACUACGGGAGGCAGCAGUAGGGAAUCUUCCGCAAAGGGCGAAAGCCUGACGGAGCAACGCCGAGUGAGUGAUGAAGGUCUUCGGAUCGUAAAACUCUGUUAUUAGGGAAGAACAAAUGUGUAAGUAACUAUGCACGUCUUGACGGUACCUAAUCAGAAAGCAACGGCUAACUACGUG
rnacentral:rRNA from 1 species